AUCUGGGUGAUCACACCUGGAGGGAUGCUUUCACUCACGCCUCCACGGACAGCAGUGAUUAAGAGCACGCAGCCCCUGGAGACACACUAAUCACGCUGCCUCUGGAGACAGACUGCUUGGUUGGGAUCAGGCUCUGCUGCUUUCAGGCUGUGUGAGGAAGCAAUUUAGCCCCUCAGGCUUUAUUUUCUUCUCUACAAAACGGAAUAACAGUGGUGCCUAGAUAGUUGGGAACUAGUGAUAACUGAAUGAAUUGCUGUAAAGCUGAGAAAGGAUUGCUUAUAACAAUGGCUCAACAAUGUUAAUUAUUUGAGAACAAAACAUAAUGCUAUUUCCCUAGAGGUAUGCUGGCAGCAGGGGCCACUCAGACAUCCUCUGAAUUCACUUAUGACUGAAAGGUAUAAGAUUUUCUACUUGAACGUCUGCUCUUGAUGAGUUUCUGUUUUGAGCUAAGAAGAUUCCUUGGAAUAAGAAAAGUCAAGAUGGAUAUGGAAUGAAUGGCUGUUGAAUGCUUACUGUUUGAAAGGAAUUAGGGAUUGCCAUGGAGACACCAUCAUUUUCUGCUGGCAAUGGUUGAAAUAUGAAAGGCCCUUGAUAAAACUAACACAUUCUUCUUAGACUUCCUAUCUCCCCAACAAGAUUAACUGAUUCUACCAUUUGGGGAUAUUUUACUGUAAUUCAUCUUAAAAGGUCCACCGGGAUACACCCCUACUGAAAAACAAAAGGAGGGUGUCAGAUAUUUGUAGAUUUUAAUGCACUACAAGGUGAUCAAAUAGAAAUGGCAUAUCUUAAAAAGAAAAACUAUGUCAAAAUCAGCUCUUCCAUGUUUUAUGUUGGAAUACAUUGAAAAUUUGUCCAAGGAAUUUUGCAGCAAAAAUACUCUCUUUUGAAAAUAAAAAAUGGCCCUGCCCACGAGUUCUGUUAUAACUCAAUUCUCUUUGGAAAUAAGACUGCCCUUUACCACUUGGUUUUAAUUCUUUAUAAUUACUUUUACCCACUUUGUAUUAUCAAAAUAACCUAUUAUUUUUUAGGAAAUUUAUUUUGCUUAUUUUAAAUAUUAAUCGCUCUUUAGUCCUUGGGGCGUUGGAAUACAAAUUUUAUUUUAUGUAUUAAUGUAUGCAUGUAUGUAUGUAUUUGUGUAUUUAUUUAUUUUGUCUCAUGUUGUUUUUGAACGACUACAGCCUGCCAAGAUUGUGGAGAAAAAACAGUAUACUUAACAAACUUUCCCCAACCUAUUCGUGAACUUUGACACCCAGGACUCCCCUACCCUGAGCUCCCUUUCAAUGACACACCAGGCCAGACACCUUCUGUACCCCAAGAGGUUUCCUGCUGUCUUGUGCUCCUCAGACACAGGUGACUUUCCCUCAGUUCUGGGGCGGUUCCAGGUUUGGUCUGAGGAAAAAGCCAACAGACUUGCAAGUUUGCCAUCUUGCCAGCUCCCUGUCAUUUAUAUAAUUUAGUGUUGUGAGUCACUGUAAAUCCAUUUUUAAAUUAGUCGUGGUCUAAUUGUGUUUUCUUACAAAUGAUAAAAAUUAACAUUUAAUGUCUUUCCCAGUCCCUUCAUAUUAUACUGCCUUUGGAUCCCUGUAGGUAACGUCAGCCACCAUCCCUGUUUCCCAUCAUCCAUCAGUGCCUAAAUGAGAGCAGCAUCUCUGACUCUUCCUCACAUAAGUCUAUUAUUCUCCAAAAACAAUUACAUCCUCCUUUAUGAAAUCUGUCCCUUUAGCUCAGAGUAAAAUUUCUAGUUCAGCUCUGGAUCAUCUAUGAGUCAAAGGACCAUAAUGAUAAAAUUAAAUUAUAGCCAAAAUAAAAUAUAUUCAUGUCCAGGCUAGUAUGAGAGGGGAAGAAAAAAAGACUUAUUAUAUACAAAUCACAGCACUAAUAGGAAUUUAUCUUAUUUAGA
ensembl:lncRNA